GUAGGUGGCAAGCGUUGUCCGGAAUUAUUGGGCGUAAAGCGCGCGCAGGCGGUUCUUUAAGUCUGAUGUGAAAGCCCACGGCUCAACCGUGGAGGGUCAUUGGAAACUGGAGAACUUGAGUACAGAAGAGGAAAGCGGAAUUCCACGUGUAGCGGUGAAAUGCGUAGAGAUGUGGAGGAACACCAGUGGCGAAGGCGGCUUUCUGGUCUGUAACUGACGCUGAGGCGCGAAAGCGUGGGGGAGCAAACAGGAUUAGAUACCCUGGUAGUCCACGCCGUAAACGAUGAGUGCUAAGUGUUAGGGGGUUUCCGCCCCUUAGUGCUGCAGCUAACGCAUUAAGCACUCCGCCCUGGGAGUACGGCCGCAAGGCUG
rnacentral:rRNA from 1 species